CAGAGUUAAGCAAGGACAUUUGUUGCCGAUAAGAAAUUCCCCUGCCUUUGUGUCGCUCUCGCAAACGGAGUGUGUGUAUGUCCCCAGUGAUUUUUCACAUCAGUUGUCUCCCUUUAGUUUUCACAUCUGUGCUGCUAUGGUUACCGAGAGCCUGAAAGGCUUUAAAUCUCCCUCAGAGCAAUGGAGGAUUUCAGAGGUAAUCUUGUUAAGAGAUGAGCAAUGAAUAUUUCCAAAGGCCUUUUGCAUUAAUAUCUCAUUCCAUAUUAGCUUAUGUCCACUGACAGAACGGAAAGCAAAAUGCAGGGGACUGCGAGCAAGGAAAAGGAAGAAACCAGAAAAGGAUGAAUGCAGAACCAUGUUUUCCGCUGCAGCCUUUUGUGUUCAGAACAACGUGUCUGAAUCCCAUAUUUUUCAAGGAGGGCCUGGUAGGCAAACUUGGGUCAGGUAUUACGAAAAAAAGAAAAACAGCCUGUGCUCUCCAGCCUUGCCCGUGUGAUUUGGGCUGCUCUGCGCUGUGCCACCACCCACCCUUGCCUGGGGGUCAGUGCAGGCAGCAGGGUUGUCUACCUGGCCUAGACGCACCGUUGCAAAGUGGUGUCACACCUUUGACUUCCGUGCAGACAUAUUCCCGGAGGAGCUACCACAGCCAGCUUGCCCAUGGUACAGCUGCAAGGAGGACUGUGUGCACUCAACAAUCACUAAAAUCAGGAUUGUAGAGAAGAGGAGCUGUUUCUCCUCCCCCUGCAGCUCCCAGGACCUUUAUGGACAUUCAGGGACCGGGCUUUCAUCUUCGUCACUGCAGGACUCAUGUUCUUCGGGAAAGCCUCGCGAGCCCCGCGCUGUGUGCCGUGGCUUUGGACCAUGAGAAGACCGCCGGGCACUUCACCCAGGUGGGGGAGACGGCAUCUGCUUGUGGGGUGGACGCAUCACUGGAGUUUGUCCUUACGAAAUCUGGCUUCUCGACAUGCGGGAGGGAGGCUGUGUGAUGCUCUGAGCUACGUCCGAACUUUCAGCCCUUUGUUGGCUGGGGCAUCUAGGAACCAGUAACUCUGUCAGCUUAAAUUAGCUCUCAGCUGUGCAGAAGGAAGACUUAUGUUCAUAGCCUCAAACUGACCGAGUGGGAACCUAGAGGAGCACUUGAGCCUUUCCCACGAGCUGAGUGCUCCCAUACUCCCCUCCCAGGACACACAAUUCCUGUACAGCGCUGAAACUUGCUUUAUUACAAACAACUUGCAAAAUUCAGGAGGGAACGGUCUGUGCUGCACCCGGAUAUGCUUUGUGCAAGGCUGCAUGCAGAUGUUGGUGGUCACGGUUCAGAGGGGACAGUGAACGCAACGGAGCCAGGAAGCGACGUUCUCUGGGUGCGUGGCGGAGGCGCGGGCAGGGCACAGACAGCACCCACACCUCUCUGGCACCGAGAUGUAGUGGUCACUGUCACAGGCAGAGUCCGGGGUGUGAUGACCCGGUACCCUGGCAGUGCCAAGGCUGCUGAUUUGGGGCAGAUAAGCAGUUUGUAAGCUUAUACACUGGAAGAAGUGGUUCCCUAGCUCAAGGGAGCAGCACUGCUUGCCCAUUGCUAGAAAUAAGGUUCAUCAUAAACUGCUGCGACAGAUAGUUUGCAGCACCAUGAUUUCCGUGAGCUGAGACAGGGCUGCGACCGCAUUCCUCCACCUGCAGCCUGGGCCAGUUUCUGGGAGCUAAAGGAGCCGACGGUGGGACUGAGAGCAGCGGGCUUUCUGUCCUCGCCAGCCUCUUCCCGCCAGCAGGACUUCACUCCCAAGCAUGCAAGCUGCUGAUGGGUCUCCAGGCUGGGAGAGAGCCGGAGCUGGGCUCUCGGAUUGCCUCUGGGAAAGUGAAGCGGGCUGUGAAUUGCAACGCAAAGCGUGUCCUCCUCCUCCCUUGCAGCCCCCUUACUGCUACAUAAUGCCAGCUGCCAGGGGCUGGCUGACCCCAUAACCUGGCUGAAGAAGAGUCAGGCUGACCCGGAGCGAAGAAGAGCUUGCAGAUGCGUGCUGCUUUGCUGCUCUCCAUGCUCUUGGCUCCUCCAGCCUCAUCUUCCCUGAGCCCGGCCAGCAGGACAGCCAAGGAAUGAGCUGGUGCCAGCCUGGGGACCCCAUGGCUUCGCAUGUCCCAUGAUGGGACACAGAUGCAGAUUGUGCCAGGAGCUACGGAGCAACCAUAGAGCACUUGCAGGCCUGCCAGGACACCUCAUUUUUAAAACAUAUUUUUUUGUCGAAUGCCAAGCCAGCCCCAUGAAGCAGAAAUGACACAUCCUGGCAGCUGACAUCUCCUGGAAGAAUUUAGCAUGAAGACAAAAUAACCCUACGGUGAGUUAAUGUUCCCAAGCUGCCGUCCUGCAAAGCCCCCGACUCUGGUGAUGCCCAAAUAGAUAAAAACAAAGGAGCCCAUUUGUCCUAGAUCUGUGGCGCGAGCGUCAGCGGUGCGGGGCGACCUGGCCAGAUGUUUGGCACGUCUCCGGCCCUGCCGCCGCAUAAAGUCGAUCUGCU